GAAAUGCGAUAAGUAAUGUGAAUUGCAGAAUUCAGUGAAUCAUCGAAUCUUUGAACGCACCUUGCGCUCCUUGGUAUUCCUUGGAGCAUGCCUGUUUGAGUAUCAUGAAAUCUUCAAAGUAAAUCUUUUGUUAACUCAAUUGGUUUCUACUUUGGUAUUGGAGGUCUUUGCAGCUUCACACCUGCUCCUCUUUGUUCAUUAGCUGGAUCUCAGUGUUAUGCUUGGUUCCACUCGGCGUGAUAAGUUAUCUAUCGCUGAGGACACUGUAAAAGGUGGCCAGGGUAAAUGCAGAUGAACCGCUUCUAAUAGUCCAUUGACUUGGACAAUACUUUUAUGAUCUGAUCUCAAAUCAGGUAGGACUACCCGCUAAACUUAAGC
rnacentral:misc_RNA from 1 species